AGUGAACGCUGGCGGUAGGCCUAACACAUGCAAGUCGAACGGCAGCACAGUAAGAGCUUGCUCUUACGGGUGGCGAGUGGCGGACGGGUGAGGAAUACAUCGGAAUCUACUUUUUCGUGGGGGAUAACGUAGGGAAACUUACGCUAAUACCGCAUACGACCUACGGGUGAAAGCAGGGGAUCUUCGGACCUUGCGCGAUUGAAAGAGCCGAUGUCGGAUUAGCUAGUUGGCGGGGUAAAGGCCCACCAAGGCGACGAUCCGUAGCUGGUCUGAGAGGAUGAUCAGCCACACUGGAACUGAGACACGGUCCAGACUCCUACGGGAGGCAGCAGUGGGGAAUAUUGGACAAUGGGCGCAAGCCUGAUCCAGCCAUACCGCGUGGGUGAAGAAGGCCUUCGGGUUGUAAAGCCCUUUUGUUGGGAAAGAAAAGCAGCAGGUUAAUACCCCGCUGUUCCGACGGUACCCAAAGAAUAAGCACCGGCUAACUUCGUG
rnacentral:rRNA from 1 species